UACGGAGGGUGCGAGCGUUGCCCGGAAUCACUGGGCGUAAAGGGCGCGUAGGCGGCUUCUCAAGCGUGUGGUGAAAGUCCGGGGCUCAACCCCGGAUCGGCCGUGCGGACUGGGGAGCUCGAGUUCUGUAGAGGCGGGUGGAAUUCCCGGUGUAGCGGUGAAAUGCGUAGAUAUCGGAAGGAACAUCAGUGGCGAAAGCGGCUUCCUGGUCCAGCACCGACGUUCAGGCACGAAAGCGUGGGGAGCAAACAGG
rnacentral:rRNA from 1 species